AUAAAAACAAACAAAAAAUCCACCACCCUGCCAGUCAAAACAGAAAUGGUUAAGUGCAAUCAGCUAUAUUAAGACAAACAUCACUAGAUUGAUGAUCAACACAAUGACUAGCAUGAAUCAACAGCAGCAUGACGCUAUCACAGCUUACUGUCAGAUCAAAAGUCUAUUACAGUAAUUUUUUUAUAAAGUUUCAAGUUAUGUUAAAAAUGUGAAAAGUAGAGUUAAUAACACAGAUGAUUUAUAUAUACUGCACCUAUACCAUAAUUUUUUUUCUUUAUUGCCAACAACUUGGAAUCACCUAUCAAACUAUACAGCUCCUCCCCAGCAGAAACAUUUAUACAGUAUUUAAGUCUUUUGACUAUUAAAAAGAAGAACACGUUGGCCUGUCUUGUCCUCAUGUAUAAAUAGUCAGUUUAAUAAGGUGCAUCAUCUAAUGACUCUGAGAAAUUGCUCACAACAGGAAUUCUCCAUUACAGAACCACCAGCUGCAUUAGCUACUACCCGGUCCCGUAGUGAAGAAAAAGUGAAGGACAGCCUGAGCUACUUCCCAACUAGCGUGGGCUGAGCAAGGCACUGAGUCUGUGGAUCUCAUCCCGACACGUGGAAGAUUUACUAGGCCAAAUGCAAGUCAGGUUUGAGUAAGUCUUUAACAGUACAAAUGCUGGUCCAGCAACAAGGACAGAAUCCAAGAGCCUAAGUUGUUCAAGCCCACCAACUACUGAUUAAUCCUUACACACUGGGUUUCAGGUUUGACUACUCGCAUUCUCUUUCUCUGGGAAUACAGUUCUGUCAAGAGGAGGAGUAUUACAAGAUGGUCAUCUUUAGGAAAGGGAGAUAUGAGGACUACAAGUACUAAAACUGUUAUGAAGAUGGAAGCACAACAGGGACCAGACUAACUAUAACAUAUCACCUAGGGCAGAGAGGAACAGAAGGAGGAAACAAUUACAGUCAAUUCUAUUUUCACUAUUACUUAUUAAAGAUAACAGGCUUUAAAAAAAAAAAAAAAAAGAAAGAAAACAUUUGUUUUUAAAAGUGAUGUUUCCCUUAAAGUUGACGCAAAAGAAAAAACAAAAAACAAAAAUUACUCAUCUGGAAUCUGAUGAUCACACAGUUAAUUUAAUGAGGUCCUUAAACUU